rnacentral:rRNA from 1 species
GACGAACGCUGGCGGCGUGCUUAACACAUGCAAGUCGAACGGAAAGGCCCUGCUUUUGUGGGGUGCUCGAGUGGCGAACGGGUGAGUAACACGUGAGUAACCUGCCCUUGACUUUGGGAUAACUUCAGGAAACUGGGGCUAAUACCGGAUAGGAGCUCCCGCUGCAUGGUGGGGGUUGGAAAGUUUCGGCGGUUGGGGAUGGACUCGCGGCUUAUCAGCUUGUUGGUGGGGUAGUGGCUUACCAAGGCUUUGACGGGUAGCCGGCCUGAGAGGGUGACCGGCCACAGUGGGACUGAGAUACGGCCCAGACUCCUACGGGAGGCAGCAGUGGGGAAUAUUGCACAAUGGGCGGAAGCCUGAUGCAGCAACGCCGCGUGCGGGAUGACGGCCUUCGGGUUGUAAACCGCUUUCGCCUGUGACGAAGCGUGAGUGACGGUAAUGGGUAAAGAAGCACCGGCUAACUACGUG